AUUGAACGCUGGCGGCAGGCCUAACACAUGCAAGUCGAACGGUAACAGGAAGCAGCUUGCUGCUUUGCUGACGAGUGGCGGACGGGUGAGUAAUGUCUGGGAAACUGCCUGAUGGCGGGGGAUAACUACUGGAAACGGUAGCUAAUACCGCAUAAUGUCGCAAGACCAAAGAGGGGGACCUUCUGGCCUCUUGCCAUCGGAUUUGCCCAGAUGGGAUUAGCUAGUAGGUGGGGUAAAGGCUCACCUCGGCGACGCUCCCUAGCUGGUCUGAGAGGAUGACCAGCCACACUGGAACAGAGACACGGUCCAGACUCCUGCGGGAGGCAGCAGUGGGGAAUAUUGCACAAUGGGCGCAAGCCUGAUGCAGCCAUGCCGCGUGUAUGAAGAAGGCCUUCGGGUUGUAAAGUACUUUCAGCGGGGAGGAAGGGAGUAACGUUAAUACCUUUGCUCAUUGACGUUACCCGCAGAAGAAGCACCGGCUAACUCCGUG
rnacentral:rRNA from 1 species